UAUUAAGAGGAGUGCCGAACGGGUGAGUAACACGUGGGUAACCUGCCCAUCAGAAGGGGAUAACACUUGGAAACAGGUGCUAAUACCGUAUAACAAUCGAAACCGCAUGGUUUUGAUUUGAAAGGCGCUUUCGGGUGUCGCUGAUGGAUGGACCCGCGGUGCAUUAGCUAGUUGGUGAGGUAACGGCUCACCAAGGCCACGAUGCAUAGCCGACCUGAGAGGGUGAUCGGCCACAUUGGGACUGAGACACGGCCCAAACUCCUACGGGAGGCAGCAGUAGGGAAUCUUCGGCAAUGGACGAAAGUCUGACCGAGCAACGCCGCGUGAGUGAAGAAGGUUUUCGGAUCGUAAAACUCUGUUGUUAGAGAAGAACAAGGAUGAGAGUAACUGUUCAUCCCUUGACGGUAUCUAACCAGAAAGCCACGGCUAACUACGUGCCAGCAGCCGCGGUAAUACGUAGGUGGCAAGCGUUGUCCGGAUUUAUUGGGCGUAAAGCGAGCGCAGGCGGUUUCUUAAGUCUGAUGUGAAAGCCCCCGGCUCAACCGGGGAGGGUCAUUGGAAACUGGGAGACUUGAGUGCAGAAGAGGAGAGUGGAAUUCCAUGUGUAGCGGUGAAAUGCGUAGAUAUAUGGAGGAACACCAGUGGCGAAGGCGGCUCUCUGGUCUGUAACUGACGCUGAGGCUCGAAAGCGUGGGGAGCAAACAGGAUUAGAUACCCUGGUAGUCCACGCCGUAAACGAUGAGUGCUAAGUGUUGGAGGGUUUCCGCCCUUCAGUGCUGCAGCUAACGCAUUAAGCACUCCGCCUGGGGAGUACGACCGCAAGGUUGAAACUCAAAGGAAUUGACGGGGGCCCGCACAAGCGGUGGAGCAUGUGGUUUAAUUCGAAGCAACGCGAAGAACCUUACCAGGUCUUGACAUCCUUUGACCACUCUAGAGAUAGAGCUUCCCCUUCGGGGGCAAAGUGACAGGUGGUGCAUGGUUGUCGUCAGCUCGUGUCGUGAGAUGUUGGGUUAAGUCCCGCACGAGCGCACCCUUAUUGUUAGUUGCCAUCAUUCAGUUGGGCACUCUAGCAAGACUGCCGGUGACAAACCGGAGGAAGGGGGGAUGACGUCAAAUCAUCAUGCCCCUUAUGACCUGGGCUACCACCUGCU
rnacentral:rRNA from 1 species